AAAAAACAAUAACAACGACAACAAAGACGAAAAAGACACAAAAAAAAGGGGGGAAAAUACAGAAAGAAAAAGAAAAAGGAACGCAAUAGAUUGAACACAAAAUGACCCCCUUAUUUUGUCUCCCUCUCUCACCCGACGACUGCUCACCCAAACGACCCCUGAACUUCCGACGUCGCCUCUGUCCAAACUACCUUUACUUCGUCGGUGAUCACUCAGCCAGACGAGUUCCCUCGCCGGAAAACAACACCCCAUUCACUCCUUCACUGCCUACACACAAACGUUCAGUCACUCCUCAGUAUCGUCGGAAUUCACACGCAAUUCGUCGCCGGAAAUUCUCAAAAGCACACACGAGAUAAAUUGAUUUCAAAGAUGGUUUUGAUUCUAUUUCUUCAAUUGGAUUCGACUCUGGUUAUUCGAGUAUGGGGAUAAAGUUCAGUCGAGGUUGAUUCGAGUUCGUGUUCGAUUCGAAAUUCCGGUGCCGAUUUGAGUUUCCGUCCGGUGGGCUACUGUUUCGGCUCGGGUUUGCUGUUUAACGAGAGGUUAUGUUUCUCUCUUCUCAAUUUCUACUGCUUUUGUUCCCAUGACAAAACUUUGACAAUUUACAAAUGUUCUACGUUGAAGUAAUGUUCAUGUUACAUACUGAUUUGGUUAAAUCUGUUGGAUAUUUUUAUGAAUGUGAUAGAUUUGUGCUUGUUAAUUGAUAAUUUCAUAGUUUAUGUUCACUUGGUAGAAGCAAUUCUAGCCGUCUGUAUUUGUGUUUGAUUCUCUGUUUAACAACUUUAUAGGCAUUAAUAUUGAUCGUUAAAGCUAAGCCAAAUUCAUCGAUAACGAUUCUGCACUGGAUGUUCCUGUGCUUUCCUCCCUGGCAGCCUGAGUUGAAAUCUGGGAAAUUAUUAGCAAGUCUUUAGUUUGCCGAUUCACACAACUGGAAGGGCUCAAUCAGGCGUUGAUUUUUCACUGUUUGGAUUCAUGUUUUAGUUAAUCACAUUGGAGUACAUAGAUUCAGUGUUAGGAGGAAUAGAACACCGAAUUUCUUAAAACAAAAUUUAAUAUGACAAUUGCAUGGCCCUUACUUUGAUUAAUCUUGUAUUGAUCCUUAGAUUCCGAAACGUGCUAUUUAGCUAAAUUUCAUGGCCCUCGCAAAUCACAAAUGCCAAAUAACUUUAGGCACGUUUUAAUAAUUUUAUCUUCUUAAACUCGGGUGCGCAUGAAUGCGACCCAAAUCCAAAUCUCGACAAAGUCGAAAUGUGUUGAUAACCACGGGUGCCUUAAUGGUGCGGGGUUAGAAAUGCGUUUUCAUGACGUCAUAAUUCUUAUAAGACAAAUAAUGAACGAAAAUUGGUUCAAAAAUGGAGACGAGUCUCACCGAACAAAAAUAAAUGUUGGGCCCUUAAUAAUUGGUUAUUAAAACUGAUUAGAAUUUGGAAGUGCCGUUCAGCGAAUUUUAACGUCCUUUCCCAAUACAAUAUUACGCUAGAACUUUUAAGCGCAACUUAAUUAAAUUACUUUCUUGAACCUCAAUAAUUGCACAUUGAUGCGACCCAAUCCAAAUCUCGAUGAAGUCGAAAUGUGUUGACGACCACGGUUGCCUUGAUGGUGAGGUGGUCAGAGACGUGUUUUCACAACGUUGCAAGUCUUUUAAAAUAAAUAAUGGUAAAAAUAGUGUAUAAAUAAAAAGGUACAUAAGUUAGCAUGAAUCAAAAUCAGAUAAAAUCAAAUACAACAGUUGAGCGACCAUGCUAGAACCACGGAACCCGGGAAUGCCUAAC
rnacentral:lncRNA from 1 species